GCUUGAAUAGUUUAAUCAAAAUUUUGAUUUGUGGGGUCAAGGAUGUAAUGAGUUACUUUGAGCA
rnacentral:tRNA from 1 species